UAAUAAAUUAAAAAUGCUGCAAUUGGACUAAACAGGAAUACUGCAGGAGUGCCUGGCAUACAGACUGCUUGUCCUCCAUGAAACACCUUAAAGCCAUUAAAAUCACCAUCCUAACUUGUGAAUUAUACAACUUGAACACUUAUCUGCAAGUGAGUAACGAGAUGUACCAAAUAUACUCUUAUUUCUUCUUCUGAAGAUUCUUCUAAAAAAUAAAAAAAUUCUAAAUUCA